rnacentral:rRNA from 1 species
GACGAACGCUGGCGGCGUGCUUAACACAUGCAAGUCGAACGGAAAGGCCCUGCUUUUGUGGGGUGCUCGAGUGGCGAACGGGUGAGUAACACGUGAGUAACCUGCCCUUGACUUUGGGAUAACUUCAGGAAACUGGGGCUAAUACCGGAUAGGAGCUCCUGCUGCAUGGUGGGUGUUGGAAAGUUUCGGCGGUUGGGGAUGGACUCGCGGCUUAUCAGCUUGUUGGUGGGGUAGUGGCUUACCAAGGCUUUGACGGGUAGCCGGCCUGAGAGGGUGACCGGCCACAUUGGGACUGAGAUACGGCCCAGACUCCUACGGGAGGCAGCAGUGGGGAAUAUUGCACAAUGGGCGGAAGACUGAUGCAGCAACGCCGCGUGCGGGAUAACGGCCUUCGGGUUGUAAACCGCUUUCGCCUGUGACGAAGCGUGAGUGACGGUAAUGGGUAAAGAAGAACCGGCUAACUACGUG